UUUUUCCCUUAUUCUUACAGCAAAAUACAAAAUUAGUGCCAUAACUCUCUAUAGUAUAGAUUUUCUUACAUUAUUAACAACUUAAAAGCCAAGCGUUAGUAUUCAUAUAGCCUCAUUAAAAUGCUAUAAAAGUAUUCACAGACAAGAAGAUUCUAGUGGUUGAAUCCUGUGAACUUAAACAAUAACAUGUUCAUAUAAAUCUUGCACUUCAUCACUGCCCUUGCAGAGAAUGCUUUUGAAAAGCUGAAGCAGUAAAGGAGCUGAUAAUAUCCUAGGUUUAUGUAAUGCUUCUUUUCUUUAUUAUCAUUUCUUUGCAAGCUUCUCAAACAUGCUCAAACAGGUGAUGUAUGUUUUCCCUGUCAGCUCUCCUCCCUAACUAAAUAAUUUACUUUCUAAUGUAAUAAAUGUCGGGCGUAUGCUUCCCAGGAUGGAUGCUCGAAUCUAACAUUCCAUCAGGCAAGCUUUGAUUAUAGGGUUUAUUUAAUUAUGAAUCUACAAGGCAGACCUGGCACAAUACUUUCAUGAAACUAGUGUAUUAGUUAUCUUGAGGUAAAUCUCAUAAAAUACAGUCCAAAAAUGUACUGAAUUUAUAUCUCCUUUAUGUUCAACAAAUCAUGAUUUACUAGUUCUCAUUUCAAGAUGAAACUGAAGUUGGGUAUUUCCAAAUGUGAGUGCCUAAAUAUAUUAGGACACAUAUAUGACAUAACAUAAAAGGAGUAAUUUUCUGGAGUGUUCACUGUAUGAAACUACUGUUUAGGUUAAAGAGAUCUGAAGGUAAGGAACCUGCAGUAAAGACUCUGCAUGACCAACAUUUUUUGAAUUCAGACCAUUUCUAUGUAAAUUCCUGUGUUUGAAAAUAUUGGCCCUAGACUAUAGGCUAUACUAUUUCAAACAAAUAAAUGUGUCUCCGUCACCAGUGAUAAGUUCUAAAGUGUGUUAAAAAUGACUGCCAUUGAUGAAAACAGGACAGGUUUUACUCUCUGUAGUAAAUCCUAUGUUAUGCAUUAAAAGCUGAAAUUACUGUACUGCGGUAUGGUAACUGUUUUUAAAAUCACGAACUGCUAGGUGUACAAGAAAUUUCCUCAGUUGUUGUUUAAGAGCUACUAUAGAACAAUAGAAACUCUAGUGUAUGUAUGUUGCUUAAAAAUACCUUGCAAUGCAUGUAUUACACUUUACUUGUACAAACAGGUUUUACUGAAUAUUUAGCAAUUCCUGUAACACACCAGCCCAAAGUGUAUCAUCCUCUCAUCCAACUAAAAUAGAUCUGACAUUUUUCUGGCCUGGAGGGGCAAUUGUUGCAAUUGCUCUUCCAUUAUAAUUUAAAUUGCAUAUAGUACCACCAGUGGAAAGAGGAGAGGCUUCUUUGCCUUACCUUUUAUCUUUGCAAGAUCUGCAGUUAUAAAUUGAAGCAGAUUUU
rnacentral:lncRNA from 1 species